rnacentral:rRNA from 1 species
UCYUGGCGGCGAGUGGSGAACGGGUGAGUAAUACAUCGGAACGUGCCCAAUCGUGGGGGAUAACGCAGCGAAAGCUGUGCUAAUACCGCAUACGAUCUACGGAUGAAAGCAGGGGAUCGCAAGACCUUGCGCGAAUGGAGCGGCCGAUGGCAGAUUAGGUAGUUGGUGAGGUAAAGGCUCACCAAGCCUUCGAUCUGUAGCUGGUCUGAGAGGACGACCAGCCACACUGGGACUGAGACACGGCCCAGACUCCUACGGGAGGCAGCAGUGGGGAAUUUUGGACAAUGGGCGAAAGCCUGAUCCAGCCAUGCCGCGUGCAGGAUGAAGGCCUUCGGGUUGUAAACUGCUUUUGUACGGAACGAAACGGCCUUUUCUAAUAAAGAGGGCUAAUGACGGUACCGUAAGAAUAAGCACCGGCUAACUACGUGCCAGCAGCCGCGGUAAUACGUAGGGUGCAAGCGUUAAUCGGAAUUAC